rnacentral:rRNA from 1 species
UACAGAGGUCUCAAGCGUUGUUCGGAUUCAUUGGGCGUAAAGAGCGUGUAGGCGGCCAGGUAGGUCAGCUGUGAAAACUCGAGGCUCAACCUCGAGACGCCGGUUGAAACCAUCUGGCUAGAGUCCGGAAGAGGAGAGUGGAAUUCCUGGUGUAGCGGUGAAAUGCGCAGAUAUCAGGAAGAACACCCGUGGCUAAGGCGGCUCUCUAGUACGGUACUGACGCUGAGACGCGAAAGCGUGGGGAGCGAACAGG